AGAGUUUGAUCCUGGCUCAGGACGAACGCUGGCGGCGUGCCUAAUACAUGCAAGUCGAACGCUUCUUUCCUCCCGAGUGCUUGCACUCAAUUGGAAAGAGGAGUGGCGGACGGGUGAGUAACACGUGGGUAACCUACCCAUCAGAGGGGGAUAACACUUGGAAACAGGUGCUAAUACCGCAUAACAGUUUAUGCCGCAUGGCAUAAGAGUGAAAGGCGCUUUCGGGUGUCGCUGAUGGAUGGACCCGCGGUGCAUUAGCUAGUUGGUGAGGUAACGGCUCACCAAGGCCACGAUGCAUAGCCGACCUGAGAGGGUGAUCGGCCACACUGGGACUGAGACACGGCCCAGACUCCUACGGGAGGCAGCAGUAGGGAAUCUUCGGCAAUGGACGAAAGUCUGACCGAGCAACGCCGCGUGAGUGAAGAAGGUUUUCGGAUCGUAAAACUCUGUUGUUAGAGAAGAACAAGGACGUUAGUAACUGAACGUCCCCUGACGGUAUCUAACCAGAAAGCCACGGCUAACUACGUGCCAGCAGCCGCGGUAAUACGUAGGUGGCAAGCGUUGUCCGGAUUUAUUGGGCGUAAAGCGAGCGCAGGCGGUUUCUUAAGUCUGAUGUGAAAGCCCCCGGCUCAACCGGGGAGGGUCAUUGGAAACUGGGAGACUUGAGUGCAGAAGAGGAGAGUGGAAUUUCCAUGUGUAGCGGUGAAAUGCGUAGAUAUAUGGAGGAACACCAGUGGGCGAGCGGCUCUCUGGGUCUGUAACUGACGCUGAGGCUCGAAGCGUGGGG
rnacentral:rRNA from 1 species